GGAGUUAGCCGGUGCUUCUUCUGCGAGUAACGUCACAGAUGUAAGGUAUUAACUUACACCCUUUCCUCCUCGCUGAAAGUGCUUUACAACCCGAAGGCCUUCUUCACACACGCGGCAUGGCUGCAUCAGGGUUUCCCCCAUUGUGCAAUAUUCCCCACUGCUGCCUCCCGUAGGAGUCUGGGCCGUGUCUCAGUCCCAGUGUGGCUGAUCAUCCUCUCAGACCAGCUAGGGAUCGUCGCCUAGGUGAGCCUUUACCUCACCUACUAGCUAAUCCCACCUGGGCUUAUCCAUCAGCGCAAGGCCCGAAGGUCCCCUGCUUUCCCCCGUAGGGCGUAUGCGGUAUUAGCAGUCGUUUCCAACUGUUACUCCCCCACAAAUGGGCAAAUUCCCAGGCAUUACUCACCCGUCCGCCGCUCGUCAUCUUCAAAAGCAAGCUUUUAGAAAUGUUACCGCUCGACUUGCAUGUGUUAGGCCUGCCGCCAGCGUUCAAUCUGAGCCAGAUCAAACUCUGA
rnacentral:rRNA from 1 species